rnacentral:lncRNA from 1 species
AGCAGAAUAGGGAAAACAAUAUAUUAAAAUUUCAUGCUUUCAUGGAAUGCAACACAUCACAACAAAUCACAUCUCGGAUGGUAUUGUCACCAAUAGUCCUCUACAUAGUCCAACUGUGCCGGGACGUAGAAUGGGUACAACCGGUCUUUCCCUUAACAUAACAUAUCAUACAGUCCAACUGUGCCAGGGACGUAGAAUGGGUACAACCUGGACUUUCUCUUACAUCGUGCCAGGGACGUAGAAUGGGUACAACCUGGACUUCCAUACCAUAUCAUGCCAUAACAUCAUCAUAUCAUAUGAGGACUAAAGGAUCAUCCAAUAACCAAUCCACA